AUUGAACGCUGGCGGCAGGCCUAACACAUGCAAGUCGAGCGAGCGGCGGACGGGUGAGUAAUGUAUGGGGACUGCCCGAUAGCGGGGGAUAACUACUGGAAACGGUAGCUAAUACCGCAUACUAUCGGAUAACCCAUAUGGGAUUAGCGAGUAGGUGAGGUAAUGGCUCACAUAGGCGACGAGCCCUAGCUGGUCUGAGAGGAUGAUCAGCCACAAGGGGACUGAGACACGGCCCAGACUCCUACGGAGGCAGCAGUGGGAAAUAUGGCACAAUGGGCGCAAGCCUGAUGAAGCAAUGCCGCGUGUAUGAAGAAGGCCCUAGGGUUGUAAAGUACUUUCAGUCGGGAGGCGUUACCGACAGAAGAAGCACCGGCUAACUCCGUGCCAGCAGCCGCGGUAAUUC
rnacentral:rRNA from 1 species